AUUGAACGCUGGCGGCGUGCUUAACACAUGCAAGUCGAACGAUGAAGCUAGAGCUUGCUCUGGUGGAUUAGUGGCGAACGGAUGAGUAACACGUGAGUAACCUGCCCCGAACUCUGGGAUAACUGCUGGAAACGGUAGCUAAUACUGGAUACGACCAACGAAGGCAUCUUCUGUUGGUGGAAAGAAUUUCGGUUCGGGAUGGACUCGCGGCCUAUCAGCUUGUUGGUGAGGUAACGGCUCACCAAGGCGACGACGGGUAGCCGGCCUGAGAGGGUGAUCGGCCACACUGGGACUGAGACACGGCCCAGACUCCUACGGGAGGCAGCAGUGGGGAAUAUUGCACAAUGGGCGCAAGCCUGAUGCAGCAACGCCGCGUGAGGGACGACGGCCUUCGGGUUGUAAACCUCUUUUAGCAGGGAAGAAGCGAAAGUGACGGUACCUGCAGAAAAAGCACCGGCUAACUACGUGCCAGCAGCCGCCGUAA
rnacentral:rRNA from 1 species